AUACGAAGGUCCCAAGCGUUAUUCGGAAUCACUGGGCGUAAAGAGUACGUAGGCGGUUUGGUAAGUCAGGUGUGAAAUCCCGAAGCUCAACUUCGGAACUGCAUCCGAUACUGCCAGACUUGAGUAAUGGAGAGGCAGGUGGAAUUCUCGGUGUAGCAGUGAAAUGCGUGGAUAUCGAGAGGAAGACCAAUGGCGAAGGCAGCCUGCUGGACAUUUACUGACGCUGAGGUACGAAGGCUAGGGGAGCGAAAGGGAUUAGAUACCCCGGUAGUCC
rnacentral:rRNA from 1 species